ensembl:snRNA U4 U4 spliceosomal RNA
GAUUUUAUGAAAUUAUAUUUUUGAUAAUAAAAUUAAAAAAAAAAAAAAAAAAAAAGGUCUAUCCGAGGCGCGAUUAUUGCUAGUUGAAAACUUUACCCAAUACCCCGCCUGGACGACUUGAAAAAUAGUCGGCUAUGGCGAUUUUUGACAGUCUCUCAGGAGA